rnacentral:rRNA from 1 species
GGGUUGUGAGGUUAAGCGACUAAGCGUACACGGUGGAUGCCCUGGCAGUCAGAGGCGAUGAAGGACGUGCUAAUCUGCGAAAAGCGUCGGUAAGGUGAUAUGAACCGUUAUAGCCGGCGAUGUCCGAAUGGGGAAACCCAGUGCAAUUCGUUGCACUAUCGUUAACUGAAUACAUAGGUUAACGAGGCGAACCGGGGGAACUGAAACAUCUAAGUACCCGAGGAAAAGAAAUCAACCGAGAUUCCCCAGUAGCGGCGAGCGAACGGGGAGCAGCCCAGAGUCUGAAUCAGCUUGUGUGUUAGUGGAACGGUCUGGAAAGUCCGACGGUACAGGGUGAUAGUCCCGUACACCAAAAUGCACAGGCUGUGAACUCGAAGAGUAGGGCGGGACACGUGGUAUCCUGUCUGAAUAUGGGGGACCAUCCUCCAAGGCUAAAUACUCCUGACUGACCGAUAGUGAACCAGUACCGUGAGGGAAAGGCGAAAAGAACCCCGGCGAGGGGAGUGAAAAAGAACCUGAAACCGUGUACGUACAAGCAGUGGGAGCACCUUCGGGUGUGACUGCGUACCUUUUGUAUAAUGGGUCAGCGACUUAUAUUCUGUAGCAAGGUUAACCGUAUAGGGGAGCCGCAGGGAAACCGAGUCUUAACUGGGCGUUAAGUUGCAGGGUAUAGACCCGAAACCCGGUGAUCUAGCCAUGGGCAGGUUGAAGGUUGGGUAACACUAACUGGAGGACCGAACCGACUAAUGUUGAAAAAUUAGCGGAUGACUUGUGGCUGGGGGUGAAAGGCCAAUCAAACCGGGAGAUAGCUGGUUCUCCCCGAAAGCUAUUUAGGUAGCGCCUCGUGAAUUCAUCUUCGGGGGUAGAGCACUGUUUCGGCUAGGGGGUCAUCCCGACUUACCAACCCGAUGCAAACUACGAAUACCGAAGAAUGUUAUCACGGGAGACACACGGCGGGUGCUAACGUCCGUCGUGAAGAGGGAAACAACCCAGACCGCCAGCUAAGGUCCCAAAGUCAUGGUUAAGUGGGAAACGAUGUGGGAAGGCACAGACAGCCAGGAUGUUGGCUUAGAAGCAGCCAUCAUUUAAAGAAAGCGUAAUAGCUCACUGGUCGAGUCGGCCUGCGCGGAAGAUGUAACGGGGCUAAACCAUGCACCGAAGCUGCGGCAGCGACACUAUGUGUUGUUGGGUAGGGGAGCGUUCUGUAAGCCUGCGAAGGUGUGCUGUGAGGCAUGCUGGAGGUAUCAGAAGUGCGAAUGCUGACAUAAGUAACGAUAAAGCGGGUGAAAAGCCCGCUCGCCGGAAGACCAAGGGUUCCUGUCCAACGUUAAUCGGGGCAGGGUGAGUCGACCCCUAAGGCGAGGCCGAAAGGCGUAGUCGAUGGGAAACAGGUUAAUAUUCCUGUACUUGGUGUUACUGCGAAGGGGGGACGGAGAAGGCUAUGUUAGCCGGGCGACGGUUGUCCCGGUUUAAGCAUGUAGGCUGGUUGUCCAGGCAAAUCCGGAUAAUCAAGGCUGAGGUGUGAUGACGAGGCACUACGGUGCUGAAGUAACAAAUGCCCUGCUUCCAGGAAAAGCCUCUAAGCAUCAGGUAACAUUAAAUCGUACCCCAAACCGACACAGGUGGUCAGGUAGAGAAUACCAAGGCGCUUGAGAGAACUCGGGUGAAGGAACUAGGCAAAAUGGUGCCGUAACUUCGGGAGAAGGCACGCUGGUGUGUAGGUGAAGUCCCUGCGGAUGGAGCUGAGACCAGUCGAAGAUACCAGCUGGCUGCAACUGUUUAUUAAAAACACAGCACUGUGCAAACACGAAAGUGGACGUAUACGGUGUGACGCCUGCCCGGUGCCGGAAGGUUAAUUGAUGGGGUUAUCCGUAAGGAGAAGCUCUUGAUCGAAGCCCCGGUAAACGGCGGCCGUAACUAUAACGGUCCUAAGGUAGCGAAAUUCCUUGUCGGGUAAGUUCCGACCUGCACGAAUGGCGUAAUGAUGGCCAGGCUGUCUCCACCCGAGACUCAGUGAAAUUGAACUCGCUGUGAAGAUGCAGUGUACCCGCGGCAAGACGGAAAGACCCCGUGAACCUUUACUAUAGCUUGACACUGAACAUUGAGCCUUGAUGUGUAGGAUAGGUGGGAGGCUUUGAAGCGUGGACGCCAGUCUGCGUGGAGCCAACCUUGAAAUACCACCCUUUAAUGUUUGAUGUUCUAACGUUGGCCCCUUACCGGGGUUGCGGACAGUGUCUGGUGGGUAGUUUGACUGGGGCGGUCUCCUCCCAAAGCGUAACGGAGGAGCACGAAGGUUAGCUAAUCCUGGUCGGACAUCAGGAGGUUAGUGCAAUGGCAUAAGCUAGCUUGACUGCGAGCGUGACGGCGCGAGCAGGUGCGAAAGCAGGUCAUAGUGAUCCGGUGGUUCUGAAUGGAAGGGCCAUCGCUCAACGGAUAAAAGGUACUCCGGGGAUAACAGGCUGAUACCGCCCAAGAGUUCAUAUCGACGGCGGUGUUUGGCACCUCGAUGUCGGCUCAUCACAUCCUGGGGCUGAAGUAGGUCCCAAGGGUAUGGCUGUUCGCCAUUUAAAGUGGUACGCGAGCUGGGUUUAGAACGUCGUGAGACAGUUCGGUCCCUAUCUGCCGUGGGCGCUGGAGAAUUGAGGGGGGCUGCUCCUAGUACGAGAGGACCGGAGUGGACGCAUCACUGGUGUUCGGGUUGUCAUGCCAAUGGCACUGCCCGGUAGCUAAAUGCGGAAGAGAUAAGUGCUGAAAGCAUCUAAGCACGAAACUUGCCCGAGAUGAGUUCUCCCUGAGACUUUAAGUCUCCUGAAGGAACGUUAAAGACGAUGACGUUGAUAGGCCGGGUGUGUAAGCGCAGCGAUGCGUUGAGCUAACCGGUACUAAUGAACCGUGAGGCUUAACCUUACAACGCCGAAG